AGCAAGCUGGUGUAAAUGGCACAAGAAGUUUUGGUCUUUUAGGAACUUUUCGAUUAAGGUGUUUGCUU
rnacentral:tRNA from 1 species